rnacentral:tRNA from 1 species
AAGGAGCACGCUUGGAAAGCGUGUGUGCGUCGCAAGGCGUACCGUGGGUUCGAAUCCCACCCUCUCCG